CCUACGGGUGGCAGCAGUGGGGAAUAUUGCACAAUGGGGGAAACCCUGAUGCAGCCACGCCGCGUGAGUGAGGAAGUAUUUCGGUAUGUAAAGCUCUUUCAGCAGGGAAUAGAAAAGAAGGUACCUGCACAAGAAGCACCGGCUAACUACGUGCAAGCAGCCUCGGUAAUACGUAGGGGGCAAGCGUUAUCCGGAUUUACUGGGUGUAAAGGGAGCGUAGACGGAAAGGCAAGUCAGAAGUGAAAGCCCAAGGCUCAAACAUGGGACUGCUUUUGAAACUGGCAAACUAGAGUACGGGAGAGGUAAGAGGAAUGCCUGGUGUAGCGGUGAAAUGCGUAGAUAUUAGGAGGAACACCGGUGGCGAAGGCGUCUUACUGGACCGAAACUGACGUUGAGGCUCGAAAGCGUGGGGAGCAAACAGGAUUAGAUACCCUUGUAGUC
rnacentral:rRNA from 1 species